CAAGUGUUUCAAACACAGAUCUGUUUCCCCGACAGAACCUUCUCCUGUGUCUUGUUCUAUCUGGGCGACCGCGAGAACCGAACCCUAAGAUGAACCAGAUCAUCUGAACUGGGUGUCUUGAAGCUCAAAUAUCCCUCUUUUUUUUGGGGUUCGGAUUCGGAUUUGGUGGUGCCCGUUUCCCCAAUUAGGAAAUUAUGUAACUGCCUUACUUACAUUGACAUGUAGUAGUUCUCGGUCUAGAGAAGCUGCGCGCGCCAUCGUAGAGGCAUAUGCUGCAGGCUUGUAUUGGUGUCUUUUGGCAAGCCUAGCUGAGUAAAGUUGGACCAAAAAGAAUCAAGGCUUAAUGACAUAAUACAUGUUCUUUAGCAUCUGCACUAAAAACCGUUUCCAGGGUGCUGUUAACCAUAUCAACCUAUGGCAAUGGACAAUCUGAAGUCCUAAUCCAUGAGCA